rnacentral:rRNA from 1 species
AAGCAGCCGCCGCGGUAAUACAGAGGAUGCAAGCGUUAUCCGGAAUGAUUGGGCGUAAAGCGUCUGUAGGUGGCUUUUCAAGUCCGCCGUCAAAUCCCAGGGCUCAACCCUGGACAGGCGGUGGAAACUACCAAGCUGGAGUACGGUAGGGGCAGGGAGAGGUGAGUGGAAUUUCCGGUGUAGCGGUGAAAUGCGUAGAUAUCGGAAGGAACACCUGUGGCGAAAGCGGCUCACUGGACCAUAACUGACGCUGAGGCACGAAAGCUAGGGGAGCAAACAGGAUUAGAUACCCGUGUAGUCCAUU